GAUGCUUUGAGAAAGUAUGAAAAGGACUUUGAUGCAGCUGUAGAGCAGUCAGGAUAUGGUUGCAUGAAUCCGGAGUGUUGGGAGCUUCACCUGAUGGCUUCUUAGUUGUUCGACCACCAACAUGCAGUGUAUUUUAUCAAACUCCAGAAGCCAAAGACGCCAUUCCUGAUAUUGUAGAGGUGAAGUGUCCAUAUACAGCAUCGUCUUCAACAGUAGCAGAUGGGGCACAAAAUUUGAAGGAUUUUUCAUAGAUCUUAAACAAGAUACCCUGUGCCUGAAAACCAGUCACCCGUACUAUCAUCAAAUUCAAGGCCAGCUACACAUAUGUAACAAAACAUUCUGCGACUUAAUUGUGUGGACAAGAGUAGACUGCAUUGUGAUUAGAAUAGUAAAAGACAUUGAAUGGACAGCAAAUGUUCCAAAGCUGAUAGAUUUCUACAUUAACAUUUUCAUUCCAGCACUGAUGGAAAACUGAGUUCUGGUUUGAACUUCUUGACACUUAGUUUUGUACCUCUAGAAUUUUCUAACAAUGGAAAAUGGGUAAUCAUGUUAAAUGUGUUGAAUGUUCCCAAGUCUCAUAAAUGUAUGAUAUGUCACAAUCCAAUGAAUCCAUCAUAAAACUUCUGGCUUAUAAGACUAUUUUAAAUAGCAAUGAUGAUUAAUAAAAUCUAUGUACUACAUAAAAAAAGAAUAUCAAAAUUUAGAAUCAUUUUAUUAAUGAAUUGAAGAUGUUAUUCUCAAAGUGAAAAUGUAACAUUUUUGUCUUUCUUAAUAGAUAAAUUGUUGAAAACAUGAA